UACGAAGGGGGCUAGCGUUGUUCGGAUUUACUGGGCGUAAAGCGCACGUAGGCGGAUCGAUCAGUCAGGGGUGAAAUCCCAGAGCUCAACUCUGGAACUGCCUUUGAUACUGUCGAUCUGGAGUAUGGAAGAGGUGAGUGGAAUUCCGAGUGUAGAGGUGAAAUUCGUAGAUAUUCGGAGGAACACCAGUGGCGAAGGCAGCUC
rnacentral:rRNA from 1 species